UCCCAGGUGGCUCAGACAGUAAAGAAUCUGCCUGCAAAGUGGGAGACCUGGGUUCAAUCCCUGGUUUGGGAA
rnacentral:tRNA from 1 species